UUUUUUUAUUUUUCUUAGUUUUGAAGCUAAUAACGAUGUUUUCAUCUUUACUGCUUCAGGCACAGGCAAAAAGCAGAAAUCUAAGUAGUUUGAAAAAACACAAUAUUUAUCAAACAACUCAUUUGCUGGGUAUGAAAAGUGAUUUCUCAUUUCAUUGGACUUCUUUCACUUCCUUGCUAGAUAGUUUAAAUAUUUAGCAGAAUAAUAAAUAUUAGCACAAUAAUAUUGUCCUACCUAUUGGAAAGGUUAAUUUUAAAAGAGAUGUUAUUGGGGUUUUGAACCCCAGAAAGAUUCCUUUUUGCAGAUCCACACUGGUUGAUGUGUAGUGCUAGCACCAUCCAACAAUAGUCAUAAAACACUGUUUUGCUAUGUCAGGUUUCACAGACAUAGCUUUCACAGCACAGACAUAGCUUUCACAGCACAAAUUGCUACAAAAUCCCCUGAUAUUGGUCAAGGAAGGCAAAUACCACCACAAAGAAAUGCAACUUCAGGACCAAAAAAAGAGGUUCCUGCAAAACUCUGACCAUAAAGCAGAGGUUUGAAAAGUUAUGGUCUGUGGGUUUGUGAAGGUCAUUGAGGGGAAGGAAGACUCAUGACAGUAGUAACAAAAGUAGUAAAUUCAGGAUGAUAUUUCUGAGCACUGCUUGGUAUAGCUUGAAGUAGCUGUUCAUAAUUAACUUAAAUAGAAGUAGCCCAUAGCCAGAUUCUUGGGACAGUACCAGCAUAAAUACCUUCACAAUAUCACCUUUUCCCAUAAGCUGUUCCUUCGUUUUCCCACAAGAAUGGUAUGUGAAUACAAAUGAAAGACAUUGUGGUCCCGUUUUGAAUGGGAAGUGAGCUGUGUCCUGCAGUCAUAAUUAGGGAGGGCAGUGGCCCAUGAAAUCUUUUCACCAGGAGAAGAUCCACACCAUAAAAAUAUCUGCAAUCCUGUGGUAUAUGGCAUACUGUUUUAUAAUCAAUAUUCAUUCAUAACACACUAUAAAUGGGCAUUUUGUAACCUGAUGCUGAAUUUAAACUGCACUUUGUUCAAAAAGUGGUUUUGAGGGUAAUCAAGGACAAAGGACAGAGUAGGAGUUUAGAGCUUCUCUACUGAUACAAACCAGCAUAACAUGGAUGACCAGCAGGAAGCUUUUCUGUUUACCUGAAGUGUACUGAAACCUUCAACUGGCCUUUACACAAUGAAGCGUUAGAGAAGAGAUCCAGCGUCUUUGAACUAAAUUAGGUUAAUAUUAUAUGAGGACAGGAUUUUAUGAGGGUAGGGGCCGAAAGCUGUCACUUUCUUUUAAUUUCAAUAAACCAUACACAGCAUCUUUUAAAAAUUAACUAGCUCAUAAAAGUUCAUCAGUCCUGAAUUGUAAUUAAUUUCUGCGUGCAGGAAGAUCAUUUGCCCAUAGGUGUUGCUUAUUCAUUUAAAUCAGAGCCACUGCAGAUACCUGACUAUUCUAUUAAAACAGUUCUUGAUGAAGCCCAGCUUUAUUUAACAGCUUUAAACACUGAAGCAUUAAAACAAAACAGUGAUACCCAUAUACUAACACAGGUAAAAAUUGCUAUCUGCCAUUCACUGACAAGGUGUUGAGGUAGGACAGUACAUGGGGAAUUCCUGAGCUCAGCUAUAGCAUAAAGAUCCUCAAAGCCUGACGUUAGUGUAGAGGCAAAAUUCACACAUGGUGCCCUCAUAAUGGAUGUCAAAAAAAAAAAAAAAAAAAAAAA
rnacentral:lncRNA from 1 species